CCUACGGGAGGCUGCAGUGAGGAAUAUUGGUCAAUGGACGAGAGUCUGAACCAGCCAAGUAGCGUGAAGGAUGACUGCCCUAUGGGUUGUAAACUUCUUUUAUAUGGGAAUAAAAUGUUCCACGUGUGGGAUGUUGUAUGUACCAUAUGAAUAAGGAUCGGCUAACUCCGUGCCAACAGCCGCGGUAAUACGGAGGAUCCGAGCGUUAUCCGGAUUUAUUGGGUUUAAAGGGAGCGUAGGUGGAUUGUUAAGUCAGUUGUGAAAGUUUGCGGCUCAACCGUAAAAUUGCAGUUGAAACUGGCAGUCUUGAGUACAGUAGAGGUGGGCGGAAUUCGUGGUGUAGCGGUGAAAUGCGUAGAUAUCACGAAGAACUCCGAUUGCGAAGGCAGCUUACUAAACUGCCACUGACAUUGAUGCUCGAAAGUGUGGGUAUCAAACAGGAUUAGAUACCCGUGUAGUC
rnacentral:rRNA from 1 species